CGGCGUGCUCGACGCAUCGUGUGAGACCAUCUCCCUCCCUCCUUUUAUUCUGCCUCUUGAACCAGGCGGGGCAUACUGUUGCUUGCGCUCGGGUGCGUCUGCACACGUGCGCGGACGGACAAACAACCCAGUAAAGGCCACGUUAAAGCACACAGGGUCGGCGCUUGCCGACCGUAUUGUGUCUACUGGGGACGAGGGGGAGGGGGAGGGGGAGGAUGGCGGUGAAUGGGUGGUGGGGUGCACACACUGCAUCUCUAUAUGUCUUUCCUGCGCUCCUGUCUUUCCGUGGCUUCUCCCCUUCUUUGCCCUACCGAUGCCCCGCUUUCCCAUGAGUUCUGCCUUGCCGCCGCCGACGGAUAUGUCGCAUGAGCCGGUCACCACCUGGUGUGCCCCCCUCGCGGUGGUGCAGGCCCCACACACCCACACCCACACACACACGCACACAUGCCAGUGGGCAGUGUGAGGGUCGGCUGUGAUGCGCUCGAGUCACGCUGGCACGCCGCCCGUCACAUGGAUGGCACAACCGAGCUCACGGUCGCAGGUCGCCCCGACGCAGCGCCGCCCAGGACCUGUCCACAGACAUCAGCAGCCAUGCAUCGCUCUAGCUUCGCUACGUCGUAGGCGCUUGAGUCUGCCGCCACCAGAAGCGGUUCGGCAUUUUUGGCAGGGGGAUAGAGGAGGGAGGGGUGGAGUCUGAUCGGCUCCCUCCCGCGCAGAGGGGGGGAGGGUGCACUGGACCCUGCUGGCACAACACUCUGGUGUGUGUGUGUGUGUGUGCGUCCACUUACCCCCUCUUGCCAUGAUGGACACCACCACCGAACACACAAGGAAGGAAACACGCAAAGGUCCUGGCAAGGAAGGGCUCUGCCCGUCCUUUCCCUCCUCUUCUGUCGUAUUGCCCGCUUCACUUGGCGUGUGCCGGUGCGCCCCCUUUGCUCGGCAUGCGUGCACGUCUUGGCGCUUUUCGCGCUCCUGCUUAUGGUGUGUGCGUGGGUGCACGUGUAUAUGUAGGUGAGAGUGUGCAUGCUUGUCUCCUGCUGCUUGACCUCAACAGGAGCAACCUAAAGGAGAGCAUUAUCUCUCUUGUGGUAGUCGUCCACGCCAGAAGCGCGCGCGCCCCAGCAGGUGUUUGAUGGCAACGCACGCGUUCCCCGUGAGGCAUCACCUUACGAAAGAUGCCCGCGACACAAUACUCUGGCGCUGGAGCGAGGUCGACACCGCCGACGUUAGCGUUGACGUGGAAGGAGGGGGGAGAGCAGGGUGCCACGAAUGAUGGCGUUCGCUUCCUCGCUCUUAUCAUGGAGCAACGAGCGUACUCUGGUGGGAUCUGCUGCACGGGCUUGCUGCCACCGUUCCUCACCUUCACCCAUCUUUCUCUCUGCUUGUCGUUUGCGUCUGGUCUACCACCUCGCUUCGCGUUGCUGUGACGGGCUAG
rnacentral:misc_RNA from 1 species